UACGUAUGGUGCAAGCGUUAUCCGGAUUUACUGGGUGUAAAGGGAGCGCAGGCGGUGCGGCAAGUCUGAUGUGAAAGCCCGGGGCUCAACCGCGGGACUGCAUUGGAAACUGUCGUACUAGAGUGUCGGAGAGGUAAGUGGAAUUCCUAGUGUAGCGGUGAAAUGCGUAGAUAUUAGGAGGAACACCAGUGGCGAAGGCGGCUUACUGGACGAUAACUGACGCUGAGGCUCGAAAGCGUGGGGAGCAAACAGG
rnacentral:rRNA from 1 species